rnacentral:lncRNA from 1 species
GAAAGAGCCGUCUGGAUUCUCAUUCUCUAGUCCCUGCGACAAAUAAACUUGAAGCUCAUUUAGAUGGGAAAAAUCAUCUACAUUUUCACCUUGAGUACUCCUGAACUCCGUCCACGAUUUAAGAGCUGUUAAGCCAGCAUCUCUUUUAGGCGCCUGUGAUGUAGACGAAGUAGGGGUUGGAAUAUUAGGCCUAGCAUGCUCUA